rnacentral:tRNA from 2 species
GCUCCCAUAGCUUAACGGAUAAAGCAACGGUCUUCUAAACCGUAGAGUGUUGGUUCGAUUCCAACUGGGAGCG